AUCCAAAAACUCCAUCAAUCAAGAACCAAACUAGUCAAGUGAAUAGAAAUGACAUUAAAUACAAUUAUAUUAACUUUGAUCAAAACGUUUGAUACUGAAAUAAGGCUUAAUAAAUAUAAAAUCAAAAAUUGUGAGCUGUGACAGAUUUAGCAUUUCCUCAGAUUUAGCAGUUCCUCAUCCAACCACUAGUCGGAGCUGCAGCUGCAGCACCACAAGCCCGCAGUCUUUGCUUAGUCAGAGCUACAGCCCAGCCACGGGCUACAGGACUCAGCUGAGCCUGUCUGGAGCGUUUUGAAAAUUUUAAGUUCUUCUGUGUAUGAAAUAAAAUAACCCCACUAACCGGAUAAUACAGCUCUCUACAGUUCAUCUUUCAGCCCGAGCAGCUAACAGCAGCAGUUUAGAGCAGCGUCACGGAGGCACUGCUCGGAUUACAUUAUAAACAGGUCAGUUAGCGCGCUGCUAACCUCAGGAUGUUUAUAACUACGGAGUUUAGUGGACACACCACGGCAGCAAGGUUAGACUGUUGAAGGCUACUGAAGACUACUAAAGCAGGCAACGCAGCGUAAGCAAAAAAAAAAACAAAAACCACACACACACACCAAAAUACAAGUUAAGAUAAAAUAUGAAAA